rnacentral:rRNA from 1 species
GACGAACGCUGGCGGCGUGCUUAACACAUGCAAGUCGAACGGAAAGGCCCUGCUUUUGUGGGGUGCUCGAGUGGCGAACGGGUGAGUAACACGUGAGUAACCUGCCCUUGACUUUGGGAUAACUUCAGGAAACUGGGGCUAAUACCGGAUAGGAGCUCCUGCUGCAUGGUGGGGGUUGGAAAGUUUCGGCGGUUGGGGAUGGACUCGCGGCUUAUCAGCUUGUUGGUGGGGUAGUGGCUUACCAAGGCUUUGACGGGUAGCCGGCCUGAGAGGGUGACCGGCCACAUUGGGCCUGAGAUACGGCCCAGACCCUACGGGAGGCAGCAGUGGGGAAUAUUGCACAAUGGGCGGAAGCCUGAUGCAGCAACGCCGCGUGCGGGAUGACGGCCUUCGGGUUGUAAACCGCUUUCGCCUGUGACGAAGCGUGAGUGACGGUAAUGGGUAAAGAAGCACCGGCUAACUACGUG